GACGAACGCUGGCGGCGUGCCUAAUACAUGCAAGUCGAGCGGACAGAUGGGAGCUUGCUCCCUGAUGUUAGCGGCGGACGGGUGAGUAACACGUGGGUAACCUGCCUGUAAGACUGGGAUAACUCCGGGAAACCGGGGCUAAUACCGGAUGGUUGUUUGAACCGCAUGGUUCAAACAUAAAAGGUGGCUUCGGCUACCACUUACAGAUGGACCCGCGGCGCAUUAGCUAGUUGGUGAGGUAACGGCUCACCAAGGCAACGAUGCGUAGCCGACCUGAGAGGGUGAUCGGCCACACUGGGACUGAGACACGGCCCAGACUCCUACGGGAGGCAGCAGUAGGGAAUCUUCCGCAAUGGACGAAAGUCUGACGGAGCAACGCCGCGUGAGUGAUGAAGGUUUUCGGAUCGUAAAGCUCUGUUGUUAGGGAAGAACAAGUACCGUUCGAAUAGGGCGGUACCUUGACGGUACCUAACCAGAAAGCCACGGCUAACUACGUGCCAGCAGCCGCGGUAAUACGUAGGUGGCAAGCGUUGUCCGGAAUUAUUGGGCGUAAAGGGCUCGCAGGCGGUUUCUUAAGUCUGAUGUGAAAGCCCCCGGCUCAACCGGGGAGGGUCAUUGGAAACUGGGGAACUUGAGUGCAGAAGAGGAGAGUGGAAUUCCACGUGUAGCGGUGAAAUGCGUAGAGAUGUGGAGGAACACCAGUGGCGAAGGCGACUCUCUGGUCUGUAACUGACGCUGAGGAGCGAAAGCGUGGGGAGCGAACAGGAUUAGAUACCCUGGUAGUCCACGCCGUAAACGAUGAGUGCUAAGUGUUAGGGGGUUUCCGCCCCUUAGUGCUGCAGCUAACGCAUUAAGCACUCCGCCUGGGGAGWCGGUCGCAGACUGAACUCAAGGAUUGACGGGGCCCGCCCAACGGUGGAGCAUGUGGUUAAUUCACCACGCAAAAACUUACCGGGCUUGAMUCCUUGACAUCCUAAUU
rnacentral:rRNA from 12 species